rnacentral:rRNA from 1 species
AUGGCUCUUUGAAAAUAUAUAAUAAAGAGUCUAGCCUGCCCAGUGGUUAAUUUAACGGCCGCGGUACUCUGACCGUGCGAAGGUAGCAUAAUCAUUUGUCUUAUAAUUGAAGUCUGGAAUGAAUGGUUUAACAAGAGCUAAACUGUCUCUAUUAAUAGGAUAAAAUUUUAUGACUAAGUUAAAAAGCUUAGAUAUAAUUAAAAGACGAGAAGACCCUAUCGAGUUUAAGGAAAAUAAUUAAAAUUUUUAACAUUGAUGAAUACUAAAUAUUUAAUAAAACUUUAGUUGGGGCGAUUCAGGAACAAAUAAAGCUUCUUGUAAUUAAAAUCUAUUGGUAAAUACACGAUCCAUAAUUUGUGAUUAAAAGAAUUAAUUACCGUAGGGAUAACAGCAUUAUCUUUUUUGAGAGCUCAAAUCGAAAAAAAUGUUUGUGACCUCGAUGUUGGACCAAGAUAUCCUGAAGAUGUAGAAGUCUUUAAAGGUUGGUCUGUUCGACCAUUAAAAUCUUACGUGAUCUGAGUUCAGACCGG